rnacentral:rRNA from 1 species
GUGGGGAAUAUUGGACAAUGGGGGGAACCCUGAUCCAGCCAUGCCGCGUGUGUGAAGAAGGCCUUUUGGUUGUAAAGCACUUUAAGCGAGGAGGAGGCUACCGAGAUUAAUACUCUUGGAUAGUGGACGUUACUCGCAGAAUAAGCACCGGCUAACUCUGUGCCAGCAGCCGCGGUAAUACAGAGGGUGCAAGCGUUAAUCGGAUUUACUGGGCGUAAAGCGCGCGUAGGUGGCCAAUUAAGUCAAAUGUUAAAUCCCCGAGCUUAACUUGGGAAUUGCAUUCGAUACUGGUUGGCUAGAGUAUGGGAGAGGAUGGUAGAAUUCCAGGUGUAGCGGUGAAAUGCGUAGAGAUCUGGAGGAAUACCGAUGGCGAAGGCAGCCAUCUGGCCUAAUACUGACACUGAGGUGCGAAAGCAUGGGGAGCAAACAGGAUUAGAAACCCUGGUAGUCC